rnacentral:tRNA from 1 species
GGUUAUGGCUCAGUGGCAGAGCACUUGCCUAGCACGUGUGAGGCACUGGGUUCCAUCCUCAGCACCA